rnacentral:tRNA from 3 species
GGGGAUGUGGUGGAAUGGUAGACACGACAGACUUAAAAUCUGUUGGCUUCGCGGUCGUGAGGGUUCAAGUCCCUCCAUCCCCA